rnacentral:rRNA from 1 species
UGCGUAGGUGGUUUUAUAAGUCAGCGGUGAAAGUUUGCAGCUUAACUGUAAAAAUGCCGUUGAAACUGUAAGACUUGAGUGUAAAUGAGGUAGGCGGAAUGCGUGGUGUAGCGGUGAAAUGCAUAGAUAUCACGCAGAACUCCGAUUGCGAAGGCAGCUUACUAAGCUACAACUGACACUGAAGCACGAAAGCUGGGGAUCAAACG